rnacentral:lncRNA from 1 species
AUGCCUGUCUCUUUCUGGAUGCUGAGCCAGAGAGGGGACUUCUCUCUGGGAGGUUCCAGUGUCCCCUGUGGCAUGGGCAGAAAAAUAGCACUAAUAGCCCCAGGCCCCAAAAGGCAAAGCUCCCCUCUGGCUCAGCUAGGCGUCCCCCUCCCCUCUGUGUGCCUGCGGAGCCCCCAAGGUUUUGAGGGGAGCCUCAGCAGAGCCGGAUUCUGGUCAGCAGAGGCGAAGCAGGACCCAGAAUGUAUCUUUCGUGUCCAGAGAGCAGGAGGUGGUACCUGGAUGCCUAACUCUGGGCUGGAACCUGAGUGUGAAGUCACUCAGAGGCUGUGUGACAGAGUCUCGGUGAGUCACGCCUGCCCUUCCUGGGUACACGCGAGUAACAGCGGCUCAUAGAGUUGCUGUGAGCGCCGGAGCAAGAAGCCUGCACACCUUGGUACCCAGCAAAUGCUAAUUUCCCCUUCCUGAGAGGACACCACCCUUGGAAACCAUGUGCCAAGAUCCAGGGUACAGCAGAGCGAAGCUCAAAAAACCUCGUGAGGCCUGAUGAGGAAGUCACCCAUCGCUGGUCACCGAGGAGUCAGAGAGAAGGUGGCCUGGGAAGGGAAUUAUGACACUGCUGGUGGGUCGAGCACUUGCGUGGACAGUAUGGCUGCAGCAUCAGUGUCCAAAAUGUGACCGACCAGUCCCCAGGCUGCGGCUGGACUGUGGAGGGCGUGGAACGCUGAUGGGACAGGAGGGAAGAGGACACCCCCCGCCCCCCCGUCAGGGAACGCCACAGGACGUUCCUUUUUCUUUAUUUUUCAAUGAGGUAAACUUCACAUAAUAGAAAAUUAACUGUUUUAAAGCAUAUAACUCAGUGACAUUUCGUCCGUGCACGGUAUUGUGCCGUCAUCCCCUCUAUCUAGUUCCAAAACAUUUUCAUCACUUGAAAAGGAAGUGCCCUGCCGAAAAAGCAGUCUGUCCCCAUUCUGCCUCCCUCUGACCUCUGGCAACCACGCGUCUACUUUCUUCCCUAUGGAUUUACGUAGUCUGGAUAUCUCAUGUAAAUGGAAUCGUAUAACAUGUGACAUUUUGGGUUCAACAUCUUCCUUGUAGUAUGAUGUUUUCGAGGUUCGCCCACAUUGUAGGAUCAGUACCUCAGUCCUUUUUAUGGCUGAAGUAUUUAUUAUUCCGUUGUCUGGAUGGAGCACAUUUUGUUUAUUCAUAUCUGUCGAUGGACAUUUGGGUUGUUUGGAUUAUAGCUAUUGUGAACAGUGGUGCUAUAAAUAUUCAUAUCAAGUUUCUGUUUGAAUGCCUG